rnacentral:piRNA from 1 species
UGUCACUAGUGGACUUGGA